UGAUGGCACGGUCUCGGGUGUGGGCCUCAUGUAAGGCAGUGUGGCUAACACUCGCACCCAGCGCAGCACUGCCCACCAAGAGGGCACCCCUGACAGCAGUGAGAGUUACGUCAAUGAGCACACAGCGGGGGACAGGAAGAAGACGAAUUCUUAAAGAAGUAUAUCCUGACUCAGCUGGCCCUCCCUGGCUGCCUGUUCUUGGGCCAAUCUCUCAGGAGAAGAAAAGCAAGGAGAGCGUCAUGGUCAUCCUAGCAGCCAACCUCUGUGGACUGGGGUGGAGGCAGUUGUCUUGAGGUUGCAUAAACGUUCAUCUGGGGCUGAGGUAUUCGCUGACCACGGCUUGAGCUGGCUGCCGUCCUGAGUGCAUUCAUUCUGUAAGCAUCUGUCCUCUGAGACGCUACUGGGCACUGGGGGACUCAAUGGAGAAUCCGUAAAGACUUGCAUCAGGGGCAUCCUAGCUAACCAAAGGUGA